GCUGCUGUUGCGUUUCACACAAGAAGUCAAGUGCCCACAAUUGCACGUGCUGGUUUGCCAGCGCGGACAGCAGCAUCAGGAAAAGAAAGGAUAUUUACGUGCUCUUCGAUCCUUCGCCUGUUUCUCUGUUUCUCACGGCUAACCCUGUGGCUGCGGUACUGUGCAGUGCUGCAUCUUUAUCGAGACCUUCACGCUCCUCUUUUUCCCCUUUUUCUUUUUGACAUCAUACUGUGGUCAUCUUUUUCAUUGGGAAAAAAUACGGAGGAGAAACCGAACCGAUUUGGUGCUUGAAGUCUUUACCUUGACCUUAUUUCUGCUCUUGUACUGGGCUUCUCUUCGCUAGCUGUGCAUUACACCAUGCUUCUACUCUGCUGAUAGUCCGUCAAUAAUGAGCUCCAGCACCCGAAGAGCUGCAACGUCGGUCGCCUCAGCGGCGACUGCCACUGUUGAUGGGUAUCUGCGCAAUAUGUCAAAGCGGCUGCGCAUUCCGGCCGCCGAAGGCGGCCGCGGUACACGACGAAAAAUGGCCAUGGUGACAUCCGCCAGCGUACCCGCUGACCCAGCCGAAACGUGUAACGUCACGGAGGAGGACCGGAGCGACUUGGCCGCCGACGUGGACGAGUGGGAUGAAGUGGAGCUUCCAGUCGCCUUUUCUCCUGCCAAGAAGCAGGAGGAAAGUGAAAGCGACAGCUUAGCCAAAAAGGGUCUGACUGAUGACGGCGAAAGUGAGGCCGUGAAGCAUGAGACCGCUUACGCGGUUUCAACUCUCAAGACAGAAGUAACGACUACGACAAGGGGUGAGGCAGAUACUGUAACAUCGAGUAGCGUAAAGGAGGAACUUGUGAACGUGGACGAGGAGGCGGCUGCGAGCGAUCGACCCCUGAUGGAAUGGGCGCAACUGCCGCUUGUGGGACGGUCGCGCGCUUCAGAUACAUGGCGGCAGCGUGACCCAGCUUAUGAGGCCAUGAUAGAGCAGAGGGAUUUGCUAGCCGCAAAGCGUCGCUCAGAGCGCAUUCAGCGCGUCUGCGAGUCGCUCUUCGCACUCCUGGCUGUGUUCAUUCGAGCCCGUCUGCUCUGGCGCGAGUCGUGCCAUCCCAGGUUCGUUAAACAGCUUCUCCGGCUCCAUGUGUCGCGCGGAAAGAGCCCGAAACGCUCACGCUGCGAAGAUCCUUCCGGAAAGGUAACAAGUGCUUACGUUUUUCUCAAAGCCGUAGCCACCGCAAAGGUGCUGGUGGCAGAGUCGACAAAGUCGUCGCAUCGCAAGCUCUCGCUUGCCCCAGCGUGGGUGACGUGCGCAAAAGACGCGGUGCAGAAUAAAACCUCGGCGGCCGUGAAUGUACUCAUUAAAAUCAUCAACGACCACUUCAAGUUAGUGGCACCGGCAGCUCCAGCUUCGUCGAGUGGACGCGAGACACCUGUUAGUGCCGCGGCGUAUACUGUUGCUCCGCCGUCUGCGGAGCAAGACUUUUCCGACUGGUCGGUGCCUGUCAAACUAGGGUUUCUCUUCACGAAGAUAGCAGAGUGUGAUUGCCGUGUCUCAGCGGAUGCGCCACUCGAGUUGCCCCAUCCCCUUUACUUCUCCCUUGUGUUUCUAGCAUUGGCGCGCGUGGCGGGGCUGAGCUGCCGUCUUGUGGUGGCGAAGCUAGCCAAGACGCAGCUGGAGAAGGCCCGCGCAGCGGGGCCUGCCGGCGGCGCUGCCAAUGGGUACAACGACACAAGUGAAGGCAAGGACAGCACCGCAGACGGUGACAUCGAAGAUAGCACUCGCCGGCCGCUGCGAAUUCUUUCCAUUUUUGAAGGCCGCGAGAAGCGCAAGGCAUCGGAUCGCACCAACGCUAGUGGGGCUGCUCGAGCGGGCAAGGGGUCGAAGCGGCAGCGACCCUCAGCAGGGUCGGCAGAAGACACCAAAGACAGUGAGGAGCUCAAGUCAAAAAAGCUGCCCACUUCAUGCUACUGGGUGGAGGUGUGGUCCGCGGAGCGCGAGAGCUUCCUUUCUGUGAACCCGUGCCAAAGCUGCGCCACCCUUUGGGGUGCAUCAUACACGCUGUCAGUCUCUGGCCACGUGGCGGUGGACGCGACGCCGCGGUACAUCUCCAAGUACAGCACCGCAUACGCCUACGGUCGUCGCCUCGGCACCUGUCGGCAGCACCGAUUCCUGUGGCGCAACGAACUCGCCUGGGAUGAUACCCGUGAGCUGUCUGAAGUGCUGCGUGCCACUUUCAACGUGGCUGCGCCACACACGAGCUCGCUGGCGCAGCGGCAGCAGCAGCGGGAGAGCCGGCAGCUACACUCCCUCAUGUACUCAGAGGCCGUGCCCACAACGCUGAGUGCUCUUCACCGCCACCCACUCUAUGUGAUAGACUCCGACCUUGCGCGGCAUGAGGGGGUAUACCCAAAGGAUGCAUGCACGACCGUGGGAAGCGUGAAGGGUCGCCUGGUCUACAAGCGUUCCGCCAUCGUGAGUCUGCGGUCUCGUGACGGGUGGCUGCGCGAGGGGCGCAGCCUGCUCACGGAGGACCAGCCAGCGUACAAGGUUGUGGCACCACCCGCCUCUCGCCCGUUUGCGGCACCGUCAACACUCUACGGUCGCUGGCAAACACAGCCGUUCGAGCCACUGCCGCUCACUGCAGGCGAUCCUCCGAGCAUUCCUCAUCACGGGCGGACGUCGUGGUACAUCUUACUCGACAAAGCCCCGCCACAGGGAAUUGUGCACCUGACCCAGCCCCAGAUAUCUCGCGUGGCGCGCCGCAUGAAGCUAGACUUCCGCUUGGCUGUGGUUGGCUUUGAGCGCCGCCGCACCGACGAGCACCGCCGCGGGCACUGGGAGACCGUCAUCAACGGCAUUGUUGUCAAGGAAACAGACAGCGUCGCACUCCUUCGCGCCUACGAGGAGUGGGUGCAGCUGGUGCAGGAGCAGGAAGCGACGAAGCGAAGACAGCGUGCGUUUCACUGGUGGCUUUUGCUUGCGCAGCGUCUUCUGGCGUUAAAACGGCUGCAGGAUCAGUACGCCAAGGGGCUCGGCGCCGGCGCGAUGCCGAUGCAGUGAUUAGGGUUGUUCCUCGUGUGUUUUUUCAGCGUGCGCAAUCUUUCGAAUGACGGCUAACACCCCAAUGCGUGGUGCCAGGGCCCAGUGCCCAACUCUGUCGAGAAAGCCAAGCAGCCCCCCCAUCCCUGUCAACACCAAGCCGCCCCUGGCCCCGACAGGGUCAGGCGCACAGGACGUGGGGAGGGCCAGUGCGACUUGUCGCUGCUUGAUGUCAGCGGCCACGUCCUGGAUGGCGCUGCGUUGGAGCGACCUGCGACAGCGGAUGCUUCUGCCCCACCCAUAUGAUGAGCAGAGUGUCAGCACGAUUCGGACGUAUCCCAGCCGGUCCUCACACCGCCUGCUGGUGGGGGGGGCCCUGAGCCACCCCGAGGGGUGCACCCCGCGGCCACCGGCAUGAUGAUAACUGCUGUAGGGCAGCCUACAAAGUGGGGGCCGGUGGGUUGCGUUGCAGGCUGGGGCCGUGCUGCGGCGGCUGGGUGGGCGCGUUGCCGCAGCGGCUGUCCAGCGCUGCUUUGCGCCACGCCGUGGGGGCCUGAGACAGGGUCGUCAGGUAGAGUGCAGCUUGACUCCUGUUGGCUGGCAUAGAAUGGACUUACGAGAAAGGAAACGAAGCACGGGUGCAGCAAUUACGGCGGCCCUGACGUUUGCGUUGUUUUUUAUCCUUUUUUUUUCCGCAUCUGCAUUUUUUCCUCUCUUUCCGUGACGCACAUGUGUGUGUGUUCUCGACCGCUGCCGGCUUCGUAUGGUGCUCUGCUGACACCCGGCGUCCCUGCAGAUGGGGAGGCGAAAAAAAAAAACGGCCGAGCG
rnacentral:misc_RNA from 1 species